UACAGGGGGGGCAAGCGUUAAUCGGAAUUACUGGGCGUAAAGCGUGCGCAGGCGGUUUUGUAAGUCUGACGUGAAAUCCCCGGGCUUAACCUGGGAAUUGCGUUGGAGACUGCAAGGCUGGAGUCUGGCAGAGGGGGGUAGAAUUCCACGUGUGAGCAGUGAAAUGCGUAGAGAUGUGGAGGAACACCGAUGGCGAAGGCAGCCCCCUGGGUCAAGACUGACGCUCAUGCACGAAAGGCGUGGGGAGCAAACAGG
rnacentral:rRNA from 1 species